AGUGAACGCUGGCGGUAGGCCUAACACAUGCAAGUCGAACGGCAGCACAGUAAGAGCUUGCUCUUACGGGUGGCGAGUGGCGGACGGGUGAGGAAUACAUCUGAAUCUACUUUUUCGUGGGGGAUAACGUAGGGAAACUUACGCUAAUACCGCAUACGACCUACGGGUGAAAGCAGGGGAUCUUCGGACCUUGCGCGAUUGAAUGAGCCGAUGUCGGAUUGGCUAGUUGGCGGGGUAAAGGCCCACCAAGGCGACGAUCCGUAGCUGGUCUGAGAGGAUGAUCAGCCACACUGGAACUGAGACACGGUCCAGACUCCUACGGGAGGCAGCAGUGGGGAAUAUUGGACAAUGGGCGCAAGCCUGAUCCAGCCAUACCGCGUGGGUGAAGAAGGCCUUCGGGUUGUAAAGCCCUUUUGUUGGGAAAGAAAAGCAGCAGGUUAAUACCCCGCUGUUCUGACGGUACCCAAAGAAUAAGCACCGGCUAACUUCGUG
rnacentral:rRNA from 1 species